UCCUUGUAAGUUGCUUUGGAUAAAAGCGUCUCCUAAUUGUAAAUGGAGUGUUGUGUCUUAACUGAUAAAUACUGAUGCAAAGAAAAGGACUGAAAUGCUGAAAUUUCAUAAAUAUUUAUUCCAUAUCAAUCAACAAAAAAUGAACUACUUUCACAGCAGUGGUCAACAGCACUUAAUAAAAUAAAACGUUCAAAUAAUAAUCAGAAUAAUUGUUUAGUUUUGUUUGAGGCCACAUUUUGAAACACAAAACAUUUACAAGUAGUACUGUAAGUACUUGGCAUUAAAAACAAUGGCGAUACAAUAUUUUAAGACACUUGGUGUUUUUUGAAGUGUUUUUUUUUCUUUUCUCUUUCGUUUUGAUAAGACCGAGGCUCCGUGACAGUCUAAACAGCACUUACUGACUCACACACGACACCACUGCUAAGAGGACCUCAGAGAAGACAGGGGUGGGUGCAAACAGAACAGGCUGAACAGUCAAACAAAAGAGAGAAAGACAACAGAAGAUAGAAAAAAAAAAAAAAAAAAAAAAGACAAUUUAUAUUUUUUUAUAAUUUGCUUAAUUAACUCUGUGACCAAGAGUCUUCUUCUGCUCAUGCCAGUCACUGCGGGGAUAGAGCUCAUAAAUAACAAGUACAGUUCAUCUGCAAAAAUAUUCCCAUAUUUUUUUUACCUUUUUAAAUCCCGUCCCUUUUUUUCGGACUGCUACUAGUGUUCAAAGAUUUUGUACAAAGAGAGGUGGAAUUGUGAAUGAAUGAUGAACAGAGAGAGAGGAGGAGUGUGAGAAAGGGAGGGAGAAAAAGACACAGACAGAAAGGGGUAGGAGGAGUGGACUAGACAGGUCAAAGAAUAGUUCUGUCUUCUGUCCACAAGAUGGCGCUUCUGUGCCAAACGCCACAGAAAAGAGGACACCUCUAUCCUGUACACACUGCCUUGCAGAUCCAAAGCAAGCAUGCUAACCCUUUAGCUGACAAUACCAAGAGACCCAAACAGCCCUGUAGGCGGUGUGUUCAGUCUAGACAGCUAGCUCUAAACGUGUUUUUGUUUACGGAUAUAAAAGUAUGGCUAAGGCUGAGCAGACGGCCACGUCUGCGUCUCCGUGACGACCUGGCACACUGUCUCCACAAGGCCUGAGGUCCCCACUUUAUCUCCGGUGUCCUUGUCAUGGUCUACUUCAGUGGUUCUCAAACUUUUUGUCCGGGGACCCCAUAAAAUCCAUUUGCCAAGUCUCGCGACCCCCAACACAUUUUGACAGGAUAUUAUAGGUCUAAAUUCAGUUUCAUCUUGAAUGAUGAGACUGCUUGCUGAGAAAAUAUUAGUUUUCAUUAUCCAUCCUGAUGUAGAAAACACCAUUUCUGAUAGACUAUACAGCAUGUCAAAGCCUAAUAUGUUGACGCACAGGGCAGCAAGAUCAUUUCGCGACCCCCAAAAAACGUUUGGCGACCCCACUUGGGAUCCCGACCCCUAGUUUGAGAACCACUGGUCUACUUAACUACGUGAUCAGUAAUCGCAUGUACUUCCCAUGAUAACCAUACUACUAACUACCAUACAUCCCACUAAGCAUCACACUACACUAAAAACCCAAGUUACUCUUGUGAUAGCUGAUGUGCUAACAUGAGAAGUACACUGCACUUAUCAUUCAAUAAUGUAUUAAGUACACAGUACUGAAGGACAAUUCAGCCAAAGUGAGACCAGCCUGUCUCCCUGAGAGGGCUGACCAGACAUCAUCCGCUAGUGUGGAGGUCAAAGGUGAAGGAGGUCAAAGGUGAAGGAGUUCAAAGGUCAAGGAGUUCAAAGGUCAAGGAGUUCGCUAAAGUCUCUCAGCUGAGAGAGGGUUCUAAGUCUAGCGCUAAAUAUCCAGCUCACCAUCUAAUGACUGCACCAAUGUGCAGAGGCAUGCAGGUGUUCGUGUUUGUGAAGCCCUUGGCAGGUGUUUGUUGUGAAGCCUAUGUCAGGUGUUUGUGAAGCCUAUGUCAGGUGUUUGUGAAGCCUAUGUCAGGUGUUUGUAAAGUGUUUGUUAAGCUUAUGUCAAGUGUUUGUUAAGCAUAUGUCAGGUGUUUGUGAAGCCUAUGACAGGUGUUUGUGAAGUGUUUGUGAAGCCUACGUCAGGUGUUUGUUAAGCUUAUGUCAGGUGUUUGUGAAGUGUUUGUUAAGCUUAUGUCAGGUGUUUGUGAAGCCUAUGUCAGGUGUUUGUGAAGCCUAUGUCAGGUGUUUGUGAAGCCUAUGUCAAGUGUUUGUUAAGCUUAUGUCAGGUGUUUGUGAAGCCUAUGUCAGGUGUUUGUGAAGCUUAUGUCAGGUGUUUGUGAAGCUUAUGUCAGGUGAUUGUAAAGCCUAUGUCUUGACUUGUAGAGGGGCAACGCGUGAGAGUUUCGGGUCACGUUUCAUGUAGAGGUUUGUAGAGGAGCUUGUGUCAUUACACUGACCUGGACAUUGAUUUUUUUUGCUGUUGAUAAAUCCUUUUCUGAAUUAGAAUCAUGAUUUACUGACUGGUAGAAAAUGGGAGUCGGGGUCAACUAGAGGCUGUAAGAAAGUGGCACUUGAGAGACUCACUGGCCCGGACUUCCUGAUACCACACACACCGAUAUAUAGACGCAACACUACAGAAGGUGAUGGAGAGAUGGAGAGAACAAGAAGGAGUGAGAGAGAGAGAGAAAGAGAGAGAGAAAGAGAGAGAGAGAGAGAGAGAGACAGAGAGAGGAUAGUGUCCAAAACAGUGAGACAUGAACAGCAU
ensembl:lncRNA